rnacentral:rRNA from 1 species
AUUGAACGCUGGCGGCAUGCCUUACACAUGCAAGUCGAACGGCAGCGGGCCUUCGGGUGCCGGCGAGUGGCGAACGGGUGAGUAAUGCAUCGGAACGUGCCAUUGAGUGGGGGGAUAACGUAGCGAAAGUUACGCUAAUACCGCAUAUUCUGUGAGCAGGAAAGCAGGGGACCGCAAGGCCUUGCGCUCUUUGAGCGGCCGAUGUCAGAUUAGCUAGUUGGUGAGGUAAAGGCUUACCAAGGCGACGAUCUGUAGCGGGUCUGAGAGGAUGAUCGCCACACUGGAACUGAGACACGGUCCAGACUCCUACGGGAGGCAGCAGUGGGGAAUUUUGGACAAUGGGCGCAAGCCUGAUCCAGCCAUGCCGCGUGAGUGAAGAAGGCCU